AGCCUCCUGUGGCCCCUUAGAGGAUGACUGAUUUCUUUUGGUGUUCAGAGUCAAUAGAAUUUUCUAGCACCAUCUGAAAUCGGUUAUAAUGAUUGGGGAAGAGCACCAUG
ensembl:miRNA